rnacentral:lncRNA from 1 species
AAUUUACGAAACAGACUGGACUUAAUUAAACCAGAUAUCAAUAGACAAGUGCAAGACAAGCAGAUGAAAAUUGCAAUUAAACCAACAAAAGAGACUUUGCGACAAUUUACCGAGGGAGAAACAGUUGCCGUACGUGACUACCGUGGACCAAAUAAAUGGACAAGUGGACUUGUAACCAAACGUGAAGGACCGUUAAAUUAUCAGGUAGAAGUUUCGCCCAACAGUAUCUGGAAACGUCAUGCCGACCAGAUACGAAACUCAGACUUUAACGAUAAACAGG